GGGGAACCUGCGGUUGGAUCACCUCCUUACCUGAAGAUACCUUCGUGCGAAGUGCUCACACAGAUUGUCUGAUAGAAAAGUAAUGAGCAAAGCGUCUACGCGUUGGGGUGCGGUAACAAUAUUAAUUGUCGCCUGAUUAUACAAUCUCACCUUCACGUGAAAUUACCCGUGUCUGUUGCACAAGUAUUUCACGUCCCCUUCGUCUAGAGGCCCAGGACACCGCCCUUUCACGGCGGUAACAGGGGUUCGAAUCCCCUAGGGGACGCCACUUGCUUGGUGACAGGUGAAAGGUGUUGCCCACAUAUCUUAAAGAUGACUUGCGAGUCAUGUUUAAGAUAUUGCUCUUUAACAAUCCGGAACAAGCUGAAAAUUUGAAACGACGCAUUGUCGUGUUCCUCCGUAAUAAGGAACACAGCACAACGCGUUCGAGUCUCUCAAAAGCUUACAGCUUACAAGCUAACUGUGAAGCCGUUACGGUAAGACAGAUAAACGCCUGUGGGUUGUGAGGUUAAGCGACUAAGCGUACAC
rnacentral:misc_RNA from 1 species